rnacentral:rRNA from 1 species
UGAGGAAUAUUGGUCAAUGGUCGAGAGCCUGAACCAGCCAAGUCGCGUGAAGGAAGACAGUCCUAAGGAUUGUAAACUUCUUUUAUACGGGAAUAACGGGCGAUACGAGUAUUGCAUUGAAUGUACCGUAAGAAUAAGCAUCGGCUAACUCCGUGCCAGCAGCCGCGGUAAUACGGAGGAUGCGAGCGUUAUCCGGAUUUAUUGGGUUUAAAGGGUUCGUAGGUUGUUCGGUAAGUCAGCGGUGAAACCUGAGCGCUCAACGUUCAGCCUGCCGUUGAAACUGCCGGGCUUGAGUUCAGUGGCGGCAGGCGGAAUUCGUGGUGUAGCGGUGACAUGCAUAGAUAUCACGAGGAACUUCGAUUGCGAAGGCAGCUUGCCAUACUGCGACUGACACUGAAGCACGAAGGCGUGGGUAUCAAACAGG